CAAGUCGAGCGGCAGCGCGGGGGCAACCCUGGCGGCGAGCGGCGAACGGGUGAGUAAUACAUCGGAACGUGUCCUGUAGCGGGGGAUAACCUCUCGAAAGAGAGGCUAAUACCGCAUACGACCUACGGGUGAAAGCGGGGGACCGCAAGGCCUCGCACUAUAGGAGCGGCCGAUGUCGGAUUAGCUAGUUGGCGGGGUAAAAGCCCACCAAGGCGACGAUCCGUAGCUGGUCUGAGAGGACGAUCAGCCACACUGGAACUGAGACACGGUCCAGACUCCUACGGGAGGCAGCAGUGGGGAAUUUUGGACAAUGGGGGCAACCCUGAUCCAGCCAUGCCGCGUGAGUGAAGAAGGCCUUCGGGUUGUAAAGCUCUUUCGGCGGGGACGAAACGGUUCAUGCCAACACCAUGAACUAAUGACAGUACUCGCAGAAGAAGCACCGGCUAACUACGUGCCAGCAGCCGCGGUAAUACGUAGGGUGCAGGCGUUAAUCGGAAUUACUGGGCGUAAAGCGUGCGCAGGCGGCUCCUUAAGUCAGAUGUGAAAUCCCCGGGCUUAACCUGGGAACUGCGUUUGAAACUGGGGAGCUUGAGUGUGGAAGAGGGGGGUGGAAUUCCANGUGUAGCAGUGAAAUGCGUAGAGAUCUGGAGGAACACCGAUGGCGAA
rnacentral:rRNA from 1 species